rnacentral:rRNA from 1 species
GUUAUAUGGUCAAGUGAAGAAGCGCAUACGGUGGAUGCCUUGGCAGUCAGAGGCGAUGAAAGACGUGGUAGCCUGCGAAAAGCUUCGGGGAGUCGGCAAACAGACUUUGAUCCGGAGAUCUCUGAAUGGGGGAACCCACCUAGGAUAACCUAGGUAUCUUGUACUGAAUCCAUAGGUGCAAGAGGCGAACCAGGGGAACUGAAACAUCUAAGUACCCUGAGGAAAAGAAAUCAACCGAGAUUCCCUUAGUAGUGGCGAGCGAACGGGGAUUAGCCCUUAAGCUUCAUUGAUUUUAGCGGAACGCUCUGGAAAGUGCGGCCAUAGUGGGUGAUAGCCCCGUACGCGAAAGGAUCUUUGAAGUGAAAUCGAGUAGGACGGAGCACGAGAAACUUUGUCUGAACAUGGGGGGACCAUCCUCCAAGGCUAAAUACUACUGACUGACCGAUAGUGAACCAGUACCGUGAGGGAAAGGCGAAAAGAACCCCGGAGAGGGGAGUGAAAUAGAACCUGAAACCGUAUGCGUACAAGCAGUGGGAGCCUACUUGUUAGGUGACUGCGUACCUUUUGUAUAAUGGGUCAGCGACUUAUAUUCAGUGGCAAGCUUAACCGUAUAGGGUAGGCGUAGCGAAAGCGAGUCUUAAUAGGGCGUUUAGUCGCUGGGUAUAGACCCGAAACCGGGCGAUCUAUCCAUGAGCAGGUUGAAGGUUAGGUAACACUGACUGGAGGACCGAACCCACUCCCGUUGAAAAGGUAGGGGAUGACUUGUGGAUCGGAGUGAAAGGCUAAUCAAGCUCGGAGAUAGCUGGUUCUCCUCGAAAGCUAUUUAGGUAGCGCCUCAUGUAUCACUCUGGGGGGUAGAGCACUGUUUCGGCUAGGGGGUCAUCCCGACUUACCAAACCGAUGCAAACUCCGAAUACCCAGAAGUGCCGAGCAUGGGAGACACACGGCGGGUGCUAACGUCCGUCGUGAAAAGGGAAACAACCCAGACCGCCAGCUAAGGUCCCAAAGUUGUGGUUAAGUGGUAAACGAUGUGGGAAGGCUUAGACAGCUAGGAGGUUGGCUUAGAAGCAGCCACCCUUUAAAGAAAGCGUAAUAGCUCACUAGUCGAGUCGGCCUGCGCGGAAGAUGUAACGGGGCUCAAACCACACACCGAAGCUGCGGGUGUCACGUAAGUGACGCGGUAGAGGAGCGUUCUGUAAGCCUGUGAAGGUGAGUUGAGAAGCUUGCUGGAGGUAUCAGAAGUGCGAAUGCUGACAUGAGUAACGACAAUGGGUGUGAAAAACACCCACGCCGAAAGACCAAGGGUUCCUGCGCAACGUUAAUCGACGCAGGGUUAGUCGGUUCCUAAGGCGAGGCUGAAAAGCGUAGUCGAUGGGAAACAGGUUAAUAUUCCUGUACUUCUGGUUACUGCGAUGACGGAGGGACGGAGAAGGCUAGGCCAGCUUGGCGUUGGUUGUCCAAGUUUAAGGUGGUAGGCUGAAAUCUUAGGUAAAUCCGGGGUUUCAAGGCCGAGAGCUGAUGACGAGUCGUCUUUUAGAUGACGAAGUGGUUGAUGCCAUGCUUCCAAGAAAAGCUUCUAAGCUUCAGGUAACCAGGAACCGUACCCCAAACCGACACAGGUGGUCGGGUAGAGAAUACCAAGGCGCUUGAGAGAACUCGGGUGAAGGAACUAGGCAAAAUGGCACCGUAACUUCGGGAGAAGGUGCGCCGGCUAGGGUGAAGGAUUUACUCCGUAAGCUCUGGCUGGUCGAAGAUACCAGGCCGCUGCGACUGUUUAUUAAAAACACAGCACUCUGCAAACACGAAAGUGGACGUAUAGGGUGUGACGCCUGCCCGGUGCCGGAAGGUUAAUUGAUGGGGUUAGCGCAAGCGAAGCUCUUGAUCGAAGCCCCGGUAAACGGCGGCCGUAACUAUAACGGUCCUAAGGUAGCGAAAUUCCUUGUCGGGUAAGUUCCGACCUGCACGAAUGGCGUAACGAUGGCGGCGCUGUCUCCACCCGAGACUCAGUGAAAUUGAAAUCGCUGUGAAGAUGCAGUGUAUCCGCGGCUAGACGGAAAGACCCCGUGAACCUUUACUGUAGCUUUGCACUGGACUUUGAGCCUGCUUGUGUAGGAUAGGUGGGAGGCUUUGAAGCGUGGACGCCAGUUCGCGUGGAGCCAUCCUUGAAAUACCACCCUGGCAUGCUUGAGGUUCUAACUCUGGUCCGUAAUCCGGAUCGAGGACAGUGUAUGGUGGGCAGUUUGACUGGGGCGGUCUCCUCCUAAAGAGUAACGGAGGAGUACGAAGGUGCGCUCAGACCGGUCGGAAAUCGGUCGUAGAGUAUAAAGGCAAAAGCGCGCUUGACUGCGAGACAGACACGUCGAGCAGGUACGAAAGUAGGUCUUAGUGAUCCGGUGGUUCUGUAUGGAAGGGCCAUCGCUCAACGGAUAAAAGGUACUCCGGGGAUAACAGGCUGAUACCGCCCAAGAGUUCAUAUCGACGGCGGUGUUUGGCACCUCGAUGUCGGCUCAUCACAUCCUGGGGCUGAAGCCGGUCCCAAGGGUAUGGCUGUUCGCCAUUUAAAGUGGUACGCGAGCUGGGUUUAGAACGUCGUGAGACAGUUCGGUCCCUAUCUGCCGUGGACGUUUGAGAUUUGAGAGGGGCUGCUCCUAGUACGAGAGGACCGGAGUGGACGAACCUCUGGUGUUCCGGUUGUCACGCCAGUGGCAUUGCCGGGUAGCUAUGUUCGGAAAAGAUAACCGCUGAAAGCAUCUAAGCGGGAAACUUGCCUCAAGAUGAGAUCUCACUGGGAACUUGAUUCCCCUGAAGGGCCGUCGAAGACUACGACGUUGAUAGGCUGGGUGUGUAAGCGUUGUGAGGCGUUGAGCUAACCAGUACUAAUUGCCCGUGAGGCUUGACCAUAUAACACCCAAACA